CCCCUUUCGAUCUUUUCCAAAAUUGGUUAAGGGGAAAUAUUUCUCUUAUCCUCCUCUUCCGUUUUCCUCAAGAAUCGGAUCUUAUCUUGAAGAAAUCAACGCGGAAUUGAGCUCGAUUCGAGCUUAUCUGUCCAAACCGAAUCCUAGUUUUUGUGGACAAAGCGGAAGGGGACGGUGACGGACGAAAAAACGCGGGUCAAAGGAUGCGACGAGAGGAAUAAUAUGAAUCUUUUAAUUAGUUAAGAUUAAAAUUGAGUUUAAGAUGUAAACGUAGUGGGGGCUUUGUGUAAAACUUCGGAUCGCUACCAAAUGUAUCGACUCGAAUCAAGGGGGCUUUGUGAAAAUCGUAUCAGAAGAGAAAUCGUGGCCGUCGGAUCAUAUGCGUUGCGAAGAUCCCCCCUCUUCCGCGUCCGCGCCGGCGCCGCCUCCGCGCCGCGCACCCCUGAAACCUCCCCGCGGGACGCCGGCGCCUCUCCUCCUUCCCCCCACCCCUAGCCACGGAUUCCAUCGCCGCGGAGGACGAGGCGCGCUCAUCGAUCCGCCGCUCCCCGUCGACGACGAAGCGACAGCAUCAAGGGUUCUAACCACCUCUUCCCCCGCCGUCGCCGUGAGCGCCUUUUUCUCUUCCUCCUUCUCCGGAAGAAUUGGGCGGGGGAUUUCGCUCUCAUCACGAAGAAGAGAGCAUCGUGCCAUUUCCUUGCAAGCAGGAUAAUAAGUAUCUACCGAAGCUUCGGUGAAAGCUCAACAAGAUUGAUGAGGACAAGGAUUGAGCCAUAGGAAAAGCCAAGGCGGCUAGGGCUGAGCAAAUAUGCCCUUAACUACCCAUUAUAUAUUUUCAGAAUUUCUAUUGUAUUUUUAUAGGGCCUGAAUUGGAUUGCAGAGUUUGGCCUAGAAUUUAAGCACUACCAGCCCUAGGCAUGUCUUGGCCCCUGGACGAGGAUAAAUCAUAUCAUAUCUACGGUGGAUUUUCACCCACCACUUUACUCUCCAUUAUAUAUAAUGAUGAUUCUUGCCGCAUCAUUGCCUCCUAGAUUCUCCAUUUCUUACCUCCUAAUAAAGGCCAAAGCUCCUCACCUUUCGCCACUUGAUUAA